rnacentral:misc_RNA from 1 species
CAAAAAUAUAACCAAGUCACUACUCAAUUCAACUCUAUUAGCACAUUAGGUUUAGAUUCCAAACAAUAUCAAAACUCUUCAACAAUAUUUCAAAAUGAUAAGAGACACCACAAAAUAAAUAUCACUAAAUGUUGAACGGAAACUCCAAGAAGACCUGUAGCAUCUGGGCUAAGCACUCAUUUCUUUUUCUCUCCAGCACCCCCGGCUCUCAUUUUCCGUAGAACAGAAGACAUCUCCUCACGCUUCUUCUUAGCCCUCUUAUGAGUACCCAACUUUCUCUUUGCCAAUUUUAGUGCACGCUUAUCUUUCCCAACCUUUAGAAGCUCAGUAAUCCUCUUCUCAUAAGGA